GGUUGUAUAGUGUAGCGGUCAUCACAUCGGAUUCUGAUUUGGUGUUAGCUUACCAUAUCAUUCCGGGAACCCCGGUUCGAUUCCGGGUACGACCU